CAACUUUUGACAAUGGAUCUCUUGGCUCUCGCAACGAUGAAGAACGCAGCAAAAUGCGAUAAGUAGUGUGAAUUGCAGAAUACGUGAAUCAUCGAAUCUUCGAACGCAUAUUG
rnacentral:rRNA from 1 species